rnacentral:misc_RNA from 1 species
GUAGGUGAACCUGCGGAAGGAUCAUUACAGUGUUCCCUGCCCUCACGGGUAGAAACGCCCACCCUUGUAUAAUAUAUCUUGUUGCUUUGGCAGGCCGCCCUCGGGCACCGGCUCCGGCUGGAUCGUGCCUGCCAGAGGACCCCAAACUCUGAAUGUUAGUGUCGUCUGAGUACUAUAUAAUAGUUAAAACUUUCAACAACGGAUCUCUUGGCUCUC